rnacentral:rRNA from 1 species
GUGAGGGAAAGGCGAAAAGAACCCCGGGAGGGGAGUGAAAUAGAACCUGAAACCGCAUGCAUACAAACAGUAGGAGCCUCACCAGAGGUGACUGCGUACCUUUUGCAUAAUGGGUCAGCGACUUACAUUCUGUGGCGAGCUUAACCGAAUAGGGGAGGCGCAGCGAAAGCGAGUUCGAAAUGAGCGUCCAGUCGCAGGGUGUAGACCCGAAACCAGAUGAGCUAUCCAUGGCCAGGUUGAAGGUGUGGUAACACACACUGGAGGACCGAACCGACUAGUGUUGCAAAAUUAGCGGAUGAGCUGUGGAUAGGGGUGAAAGGCCAAACAAAUCUGGAGAUAGCUGGUUCUCCCCGAAAACUAUUGAGGUAGUGCCUCGUGUGUCGCUCCAGGGGGUAGAGCACUGUUUUGGCUAGGGGGACAUGGAGUCUUACCAAACCAAGGCAAACUCCGAAUACCUGGAAGCGUAAGCACGGGAGACAGAGCACCGGGUGCUAACGUCCGGACUCAAAAGGGAAACAACCCAGACCGCCGGCUAAGGUCCCCAAUAACAGCUAAGUGGAAAACGAAGUGGAAAGGCCGUGACAACCAGGAAGUUGGCUUAGAAGCAGCCAUCCUUCAAAGAAAGCGUAAUAGCUCACUGGUCGAGUCCUUCUGCGCGGAAGAUGUAACGGGGCUAAGCUGUUAACCGAAGCCGCGGAUGCACUGAUUAUUCAGUGCGUGGUAGGGGAGCGUUCUGUAAGUCUGCGAAGGCGGUUCGAGAGGACUGCUGGAGAUAUCAGAAGUGCGAAUGCUGACAUGAGUAACGUUAAAGCAGGUGAAAAGCCUGCUCGCCGUAAGCCCAAGGAUUCCUGCUCUACGUUCAUCGGAGCAGGGUGAGUCGGCUCCUAAGGUCAGGCCGAAAGGCGUAGCCGAUGGGAAUCAGGUUAAUAUUCCUGAACCUGCGUCAGAUGCGAUGGGGGGACGGAGCAUGAAAGAUCAUCCGGGUGUUGGAUGUCCCGGUUGACGAGCGUAGGAGGUCUGCAGGCAAAUCCGCAGACGCAUCUCCAAGGCAAAGACACGUGCCGCCACGGCGGCGAAGUGAUCGGAAGUGCUUCCAAGAAAAGCCUCUAAGCACCAGUCUGGCGCGGACCGUACCGCAAACCGACACUGGUGGGCGAGCUGAAUAUGCUCAGGCGCUUGAGAGAACUCGGGAGAAGGAACUCGGCAAAUUGACACCGUAACUUCGGAAGAAGGUGUGCCGUAGUACCGUGAGAGGAGAGACACCUUGAGCGGGAAUCGGUCUCAGAGAAUAGGUGGCUGCGACUGUUUAUUAAAAACACAGCACUCUGCAAAGUCGAAAGACGACGUAUAGGGUGUGAUGCCUGCCCGGUGCUGGAAGAUUAAUUGAUGGGGUGAGAGCCCUUGAUCGAAGUCCCAGUAAACGGCGGCCGUAACUAUAACGGUCCUAAGGUAGCGAAAUUCCUUGUC